AUACGGAGGAUCCGAGCGUUAUCCGGAUUUAUUGGGUUUAAAGGGUGCGCAGGCGGCCAUUUAAGUCAGCGGUUAAAUCGUGGGGCUCAACCCCAUUCUGCCGUUGAUACUGGGUGGCUUGAUUGCGGUCGAGGUUGGCGGAAUUCGUUGUGUAGCGGUGAAAUGCAUAGAUAUGACGAAGAACACCGAUUGCGUAGGCAGCUGACCAGACCGUAAAUGACGCUCAUGCACGAAAGUGCGGGGAUCGAACAGGAUUAGAUACCCUGGUAGUCCGCACAGUAAACGAUGAAUACUUGUUUUCGGCGAUAUAAUGUCGGAGGCAAAGCGAAAGCGAUAAGUAUUCCACCUGGGGAGUACGCCGGCAACGGUGAAACUCAAAUGAAUUGACGGGG
rnacentral:rRNA from 1 species